AUUUCUGACGAGUCCCAAAUAGGACGAAAUGCGCAUCCUGGAU
rnacentral:hammerhead_ribozyme from 1 species